AAAAGCUAGCAUUGGUAGAUAGACCUUACCCCGAUCCUUAGUGGGGGGGGGGGGACUCAAGAAGUUGUCCAACAAGAAGUACAAAUCCAGGUGAUCCUUCAAAGAAGGUACAACUUCAGAUGAUUCUUCAAAUGAAGGUACAACUUCAGAUGAUCCUUCAAAAGAAAGUGCAACGUCAGAUGAUCCUUCAAAAGAAAGUUAACAUCAGAUGAUCCUUCAAAAGAAAGAAACUGCACA
rnacentral:lncRNA from 1 species